rnacentral:rRNA from 1 species
UACGAAGGGGGCUAGCGUUGUUCGGAAUCACUGGGCGUAAAGCGCACGUAGGCGGAUUCUUAAGUCAGGGGUGAAAUCCCGAGGCUCAACCUCGGAACCGCCUUUGAUACUGGGGAUCUCGAGUCCGGGAGAGGUGAGUGGAAUUGCGAGUGUAGAGGUGAAAUUCGUAGAUAUUCGCAAGAACACCAGUGGCGAAGGCGGCUCACUGGCCCGGAACUGACGCUGAGGUGCGAAAGCGUGGGAGCAACAGG